rnacentral:rRNA from 1 species
CCGGCACGGGUGAGUAACACGUAUCCAACCUGCCGUCUACUCUUGGACAGCCUUCUGAAAGGAAGAUUAAUACAAGAUGGCAUCAUGAGUUCACAUGUUCACAUGAUUAAAGGUAUUUUCCGGUAGACGAUGGGGAUGCGUUCCAUUAGAUAGUAGGCGGGGUAACGGCCCACCUAGUCAACGAUGGAUAGGGGUUCUGAGGGGAAGGUCCCCCACAUUGGAACUGAGACACGGUCCAA